rnacentral:rRNA from 1 species
UACGUAGGGGGCUAGCGUUGUCCGGAAUCAUUGGGCGUAAAGAGCGCGUAGGCGGUCCGGUAAGUCGGCUGUGAAAGUCAAGGGCUCAACCCUUGAAAGCCGGCCGAUACUGUCGGACUAGAGUCCGGAAGAGGCGAGUGGAAUUCCCGGUGUAGCGGUGAAAUGCGCAGAUAUCGGGAGGAACACCUAUGGCGAAGGCAGCUCGCUGGGACGUUACUGACGCUGAGACGCGAAAGCGUGGGGGAGCGAACAGG